CACUAUGCCUAGCCCUAAACAACGAUACCAUUAUACACCCCCUAUCCGCCCGGGUACUACGAGCAUCAGCUUAAAACCCAAAGGACUUGGCGGUGCUUUAAAACCAUCUAGAGGAGCCUGUUCUAGAACCGAUAACCCCCGUUAAACCUCACCCCUCCUUGUUUAAUCCGCCUAUAUACCACCGUCGUCAGCCUACCCUGUGAAGGAUUAAUAGUAGGCAAAGUUGGCACAGCCCAAAACGUCAGGUCGAGGUGUAGCGUAUGGAGGGGGAAGAAAUGGGCUACAUUCUCUACUCAGAGAACCACGAAUGACACACUGAAACAUGUGUCUGAAGGAGGAUUUAGCAGUAAGCAAAGAAACAGAGUGUCUUGCUGAAACCGGCCAUGAAGCGCGCACACACCGCCCGUCACUCUCCCCAAAUCUAACUAACUAAUAAUUAAUACACCACCACAAACAAAGGGGAGGCAAGUCGUAA
rnacentral:rRNA from 1 species